rnacentral:rRNA from 1 species
CGUGUGUGAAGAAGGCCUUUUGGUUGUAAAGCACUUUAAGCGAGGAGGAGGCUACCGAGAUUAAUACUCUUGGAUAGUGGACGUUACUCGCAGAAUAAGCACCGGCUAACUCUGUGCCAGCAGCCGCGGUAAUACAGAGGGUGCAAGCGUUAAUCGGAUUUACUGGGCGUAAAGCGCGCGUAGGUGGCCAAUUAAGUCAAAUGUGAAAUCCCCGAGCUUAACUUGGGAAUUGCAUUCGAUACUGGUUGGCUAGAGUAUGGGAGAGGAUGGUAGAAUUCCAGGUGUAGCGGUGAAAUGCGUAGAGAUCUGGAGGAAUACCGAUGGCGAAGGCAGCCAUCUGGCCUAAUACUGACACUGAGGUGCGAAAGCAUGGGGAGCAAACAGGAUUAGAUACCCUGGUAGUCCAUGCCGUAAACGAUGUCUACUAGCCGUUGGGGCCUUUGAGGCUUUAGUGGCGCAGCUAACGCGAUAAGUAGACCGCCUGGGGAGUACGGUCGCAAGACUAAAACUCAAAUGAAUUGACGGGGGCCCGCACAAGCGGUGGAGCAUGUGGUUUAAUUCGAUGCAACGCGAAGAACCUUACCUGGUCUUGACAUAGUAAGAACUUUCCAGAGAUGGAUUGGUGCCUUCGGGAACUUACAUACAGGUGCUGCAUGGCUGUCGUCAGCUCGUGUCGUGAGAUGUUGGGUUAAGUCCCGCAACGAGCGCAACCCUUUUCCUUAUUUGCCAGCGGGUUAAGCCGGGAACUUUAAGGAUACUGCCAGUGACAAACUGGAGGAAGGCGGGGACGACGUCAAGUCAUCAUGGCCCUUACGACCAGGGCUACACACGUGCUACAAUGGUCGGUACAAAGGGUUGCUACCUCGCGAGAGGAUGCUAAUCUCAAAA